rnacentral:rRNA from 1 species
UACAGAGGGUGCAAGCGUUGUUCGGAAUUAUUGGGCGUAAAGCGCGUGUAGGCGGCUUAAUAAGUCGGGUGUGAAAGCCCUCAGCUCAACUGAGGAAGUGCGCCCGAAACUGUUUAGCUUGAGUGCCGGAGAGGGUGGCGGAAUUCCCCAAGUAGAGGUGAAAUUCGUAGAUAUGGGGAGGAACACCGGUGGCGAAGGCGGCCACCUGGCCGGUAACUGACGCUGAGACGCGAAAGCGUGGGUAGCAAAC